rnacentral:rRNA from 1 species
AGGAUUAACGCUGGCGGCGUGCCUAACACAUGCAAGUCGAACGCCCCGCAAGGGGAGUGGCAGACGGGUGAGUAACGCGUGGGAAUCUACCCAGUUCUUCGGAAUAACACAGGGAAACUUGUGCUAAUACCGAAUACGCCCUACGGGGGAAAGAUUUAUCGGGAUUGGAUGAGCCCGCGUUGGAUUAGCUAGUUGGUGGGGUAAUGGCCUACCAAGGCGACGAUCCAUAGCUGGUCUGAGAGGAUGAUCAGCCACACUGGGACUGAGACACGGCCCAGACUCCUACGGGAGGCAGCAGUGGGGAAUAUUGGACAAUGGGCGAAAGCCUGAUCCAGCCAUGCCGCGUGAGUGAUGAAGGCCUUAGGGUUGUAAAGCUCUUUCAGUGGGAAGAUAAUGACGGUACCCACAGAAGAAGCCCCGGCUAACUUCGUGCCAGCAGCCGC